rnacentral:rRNA from 1 species
GACGAACGCUGGCGGCGCGCCUAACACAUGCAAGUCGAACGAGAGAUGAGGAGCUUGCUCUUCAAAUCGAGUGGCGAACGGGUGAGUAACGCGUGAGGAACCUGCCUCAAAGAGGGGGACAACAGUUGGAAACGACUGCUAAUACCGCAUAAGCCCACGGCUCGGCAUCGAGCAGAGGGAAGAGGAGUGAUCCGCUUUGAGAUGGCCUCGCGUCCGAUUAGCUAGUUGGUGAGGUAACGGCCCACCAAGGCGACGAUCGGUAGCCGGACUGAGAGGUUGAACGGCCACAUUGGGACUGAGACACGGCCCAGACUCCUACGGGAGGCAGCAGUGGGGAAUAUUGCACAAUGGGGGAAACCCUGAUGCAGCGACGCCGCGUGGAGGAAGAAGGUCUUCGGAUUGUAAACUCCUGUUGUUGAGGAAGAUAAUGACGGUACUCA